ACAAGCCUGACAGAGGCUAGUCUGGACUAGCUCAGGACACGCAGGCGGAGGACACAGCCAGGCGACAAAAGUGAAGCAGCUGGACCAACCAGGGCGGGGCCAGGGCUGAGGACCAGGGGUGGAAGAAAUUAAAGCAACCGAUGCCCGGGAGCACAGGGCCCAGGACUGCCUUCAGCCUAUGAGUCUGUGAGCUUCCUGCGGGAGAUGAACGCCAAGAGCAGUUCCAAGCGAAAGUUCGCUCCGUGGCGAGUCAAGACCUCGGCCCUGGCCUCCUCUGUGCCAUCCUCUGGGACUUGCUACGUCACAGGGAGCAGGAGGGCAUUCUACUGCACAGACGGCCAGUCUGCACAGCCUCCUUCCUGUCCCACUAGACUUCUUCUGGGUUAUCCGGGGAGGGACAAGGGAAAGACCCACUUCUUCUGUGGUCCCCCACUUACAGACAAAAGAGACAGAAAGAAGGAGCAAGCAGGGAGCGAGUGAGAACGUGAGCAGAUGGGGUGGGGGGCGAGCAGAGUGGGAGGACGCGUGUGCGCAUGCCUGCGAGAGCGCCCGCCUUCUCAGCAUCCUUACGGCUCAUGCCUCGUGGAGGAGAGCGAGUCCGCAAAGAGGACCCUCUUACCCGCACCGAUGCUCCGGCUUUAGUUCCUGUGCUCGUGAUUUUGAAGCCAAUCAUUGCCCAGCGGCGCUGUUCCUCCUUGGAGGCCAGCUUCAUCCCUGGGCACCACGAGCCUCUUCUGGUCAGCAUGCCUGGCACAGGUGGACUCCACUGAGAUUUCCUGUCUUCAUCCCAGCGGUGUGGUCUGGCUGACCGUGGCCCGGCGGACUGGCCAGAUCAGAGGCCGUUGCUGUGUGUAGAGACCCCCACUCGCUUGUGCCCACAGGGAGCUUUGGAGGAGGGAGCUCCGAGGAUCUCCCAGCUGCUCUUACAGGUUCUCCCCGAGCUGAGUCCCCCAUAGCCUCCUCCACCCCCCAGCAGGGAGAUCUGUCACCUCUGAACUUGACAAGUGCUGAUUGCAGGCAGUUUGUUGCGGUGUACUACAGGAUGGGACCCCAGAUUAAGGGCAUCUCCCAAAGUUCCCAUUUUCAUGGUUUUCAUCUUCAGCCCUCUCUGUAGAUUGUGCCCGAGAUUAGCCCAGUCUAAUGGGGUAAGACUAGAGGGGUGUUAUCCUGAGCAGAAAUGUCUCCGUCCUGCUUUUUAGGCUCAGAAGAUAUGUUGGUAAGUGACAAACUCAUGUUGUAAAUUUGUAAAUUAUGUCCUGCCCCAGUCCCGGCACCACCACCAGCCCUUUGACCUCAGUCCUCAUCUUUGGGGGCUGUGGAGGUAACAGCCUAGGUCCCCUCCCCUCAGGGGCAUGUGCAGGCCUAGAGCUUCAGAAGGAAGCUGGCACUGGUGUCCAGAGCCAGAGAUGUCUGUCGUCCUUCUGUGAAGCCUGUCUCCUGACUUGACACGGAGGACUGCUGAGAGGGCACAGGAGAACACAUGGGUAUGGUCACCAGGGAGAAGGGGGGUGGGGCCUCCAACGUGCCCUUUCUGAUUAAAAUCUCUCAAAAUCAGAACUUACAAAGAUGGGAGGAAACUUGGGGCUCGUCAAAUCAGGCAUUGCCAGCCUUAGUGAUGCAGCAGAAUUAUGUGUAGUGGCUUGAAAAGGCAGAUUUCCAAGGCCCACCGCAAAUCUCUUGAAUCAGGAUCUCCAGGGGGUGGAACCCAGAGAGCUGUAUGGAGCUGAGCUGGGGCAGCGCUGCCCAGCCAAGCCACCCAGCACGAGUUUUACAGUCAGAGUGGAUUUGCCACUCACCGCCUGUCUGUCCAAGUGAUACAGGAAAAAUGCGGCAUGAGAGGAUGGCCAUUUCCCAGGUCUCGGAAGAGACGUGGUGGGGCGCAUCCCCAAGUGAGGGUCCUUGGCUUCACGCAGGAAAGAAUUCAAGAGCGAGCCAUAGUAGAGUAAGAGUAGAUUUAUUCAGAGAGAUACUUACUCCAUAGACAGGUCGUCUCAACAGGCAAGAAAAGGGCCGAGAGAAUGAGGGCUACCUUACUCGGAAGGGAGAGCGGCAGCCUCAGAGCAUGGGGUCGACUGGGAAAAAUGAGACCCCGAGGUGUGGGGUCUUCAUAUGCUAAAAAGUGGGAAGAUUAUUCCAACUACUUUGGGGAAGGGGCUGGAUUCCCGGGAACUGGGCCACCUCCCACAUUUGACGUUUAAUGGGCAGCCUUGAAACUGCCCUGGCACCUGUGGGGGUGUCCUUUAGCAGCUAAUGUGUUACAGUGAGCAGAUAGUGAAGCUCAAGUUCUACUGGGAGUUGAAUCUUCUGUCCUCUUGCUGCUAAUUGCUCUAUUAUUCUUUUAAGGGUUGUGCCCGGCCCCCUUCCCUCCUGUCUCACAAGGCCAAGUUACCCAGCCUCAGUUUCCCCAUCUGUAAAAUAGGAGUAACAACACUUGGCAGGGCUGGGGUCAAGGUUAGAGAAGACGCUGCGUGCGAAGGGCUGGGUGUGGAGUUGAAAGCUGAUGCACAGCCAGCCCCAGCUGCUUGCUGCCUGCCCACGGUGAGGUGCACAUGUGGGGGAAGAGCCCGUGGGAGCAGGUGACCUGCUCACCCAUCGUGCAUUCAGUCCUCAGGGAGACAGAGCUUGAUAAGGAACCCAAGCAUGUGAGUUCCGGACACCAAGGGGGUGACUUUGCGUGGACGAGCUGUCUCCAGUGGCCUCGGGGAGGAAGCUCGUUCCGCCGGCCCAGCUCCAGCAGGAAGACCUCAGUGCUGUCUUUUCUGCACCUCACAGUCCUGCUGACACAGACCGCUUGUGACAUUCUGUAACCCCAUCCAACCACAUGCUUUGAUGUUCCUGGGACCACACUGACCAUCUGACCACAAGCUUUGAUGUUCCUGGGACCACAGUGACCAUCUGACCACAGGCUCUGAUGCUUCUGGACCACAUUGACCAUCUGACCACAUGCUCUGAUGCUUCUGGGACCGCACUGACCAUAUGACCACAGGCUCUGAUGUUCCUGGGACCACAAUGACCAUCCAGCUGUAGACUCAGCCCCUCUGAGCUUCUGAGCUGCUCUGAGUAAGCAGGUGGCUCUAUACUAAGUGUCCGUGGCAGCCUGAAGCCUCAUCUGCUAGUGGACACUCCAGCCUUGCUUGUGGUCUCAGGGCCACUGGCUCCCUAAGUGCAGAUCAGCCUACUUACCAGGUUUCUGACUCAAUCCCCUGAUUUGCAGUCCACAUGCAACAGCAGCAACCAAUGUUUUCCGAGCACUUGUCAACCGUCAGACAUUGUUCGCUGGUUAUAAAGAUGAGGCAGUCACAGACACUGUCCCCAAGGUACACCCAUUCUAGCUGGGGAGAUAGAUGGAAAAUGGAGCAUUCCAGUGCAGGUAAUAAAGGAAGAGAUGGGAACAGAGCCCUGCUGAUGCCUUUAGCAGAGAACCCUGAUCUAGUGAUGGAGGGAACAGAGAGUGAUCAAUGGAAUUUUAGGGGUAAGUUUCAUUUUCCUAGAAGCAAGCAGUUUUACAGAAGUGCAAAAGCAGGAAGGUGAUGGCCCUGCCUGGGCGGUCUUGCUGGUCCCUUUGUGGGUUUUGCCCCUUCAUGGUAAGAACCUGGCAAGGCCUGUUUGUUCAAAGUCCUCUCUGUGUCCCCCAGCCUCUGCUUGGUCUGGAGAACAUCUGUUGUUCCCACGUUCCUGUGAAUUGUCUUCCUUCCCUUUGGAGCCCCCGACCCCUAGCUCCUUCUCAGCUCAGCAUGGCCUGGAAGCUUCAAUUGCCUGCCUGUUAGGGAGCCUCUCAUGGUCUUUGUGGGGCUCCUGCAUAUGCAGAAUUAAAUUUGUUUUUCUCUCGUUAAUCUGUCUUAUGUCAAUUUAAUUACCAGCCCAGCUGAAAGAACCUGGAAGAGGGGAGGAAAAAUUUCCCUCCCCUACAAAAUGAAGGCAGGAGGUUUUCAGGUUGUACUUCCAUUCUCACCACACCCAGAGAAUUCUACACUGUUCCUGGUCGCACUGAUUUCUGGGAUGUCUCCUCAGUUUACUUCCGCCCACUCACUUUGGAGCUGGUGGCAUCCUCUUAGUACUGUUCUGCUCCUGACCUCCGAUGGGCUGGUUUUGGGGGUAACUUGUGUACCCUUCUAGGCUCUAACACAAGAGGCAAAAGGCAGAUUCUCAGGGAGCAAA